rnacentral:rRNA from 1 species
AUAAGCGGAGGAAAAGAAACUAACAAGGAUUCCCCUAGUAACUGCGAGUGAAGCGGGAAGAGCUCAAAUUUAAAAUCUGGCGGCCUUGGUCGUCCGAGUUGUAGUCUGGAGAAGUGCUUUCCGCGCUGGACCGUGUACAAGUCUCUUGGAACAGAGCGUCAUAGAGGGUGAGAAUCCCGUCUUUGACACGGACUACCAGUGCUUUGUGAUGCGCUCUCAAAGAGUCGAGUUGUUUGGGAAUGCAGCUCAAAAUGGGUGGUGAAUUCCAUCUAAAGCUAAAUAUUGGCGAGAGACCGAUAGCGAACAAGUACCGUGAGGGAAAGAUGAAAAGCACUUUGGAAAGAGAGUUAAACAGUACGUGAAAUUGCUGAAAGGGAAACGCUUGAAGUCAGUCGCGUCGUUCGGAACUCAGCCUUGCCUCGGCUUGGUGCACUUUCCGAAUGACGGGUCAGCAUCGAUUUUGACCGUCGGAAAAAGGCCAGAGUAAUGUGGCACCUCCGGGUGUGUUAUAGACUCUGGUCGCAUACGGCGGUUGGGAUCGAGGAACGCAGCGCGCCGCAAGGCAGGGGUUCGCCCACUUUCGCGCUUAGGAUGCUGGCAUAAUGGCUUUAAGCGACCCGUCUUGAAACACGGACCAAGGAGUCUAACAUACCUGCGAGUGUUUGGGUGGAAAACCCGAGCGCGCAAUGAAAGUGAAAGUUGAGACCUCUGUCGUGGAGGGCAUCGACGCCCGGACCUGACGUUCUCUGACGGAUCCGCGGUAGAGCAUGUAUGUUGGGACCCGAAAGAUGGUGAACUAUGCCUGAAUAGGGUGAAGCCAGAGGAAACUCUGGUGGAGGCUCGUAGCGAUUCUGACGUGCAAAUCGAUCGUCAAAUUUGGGUAUAGGGGCGAAAGACUAAUCGAACCAUCUAGUAGCUGGU